GCAGUCUGGCCCUCCUAAAGUGAGGCAGAGUGUUUCGACUGCCCCAUCUGGCCCAAGAUCCAAUGCAGGGAUAAUCAACAACACUAACAACCUUGCAGGGCAACAGCUUGCCUUUCACAGCAGAGAGAACCAAGUGCCUCCUAGAACGGGGGGCGGCCUUGGAAAUGGAAUGCCUGUCAUGCUUCCACCGCAGUCAUCUACAAACGUGAGCCAAGGUGCAGAUCAGACUUUUCCUGCAAAAAAUGCAUUAAAUAGCCCAGAAAACUUACAAAUACAGCAUCUCAAGCAAUUAAGUCGAUCUUCUCUACUCUUCUCUACAACCUGCUGGCCCUUCUAAUGAUGGAGGAUCAAUCAACCACUUCCCAUCGCAGGGUGGGCCUGCUGUCCUGAUGGCACAAC
rnacentral:misc_RNA from 1 species